GAUGAACGCUGGCGGCGUGCUUAACACAUGCAAGUCGAACGAUGAAGCCCAGCUUGCUGGGUGGAUUAGUGGCGAACGGGUGAGUAACACGUGAGUAACCUGCCCUUGACUCUGGGAUAAGCCCGGGAAACUGGGUCUAAUACCGGAUAGGAGCGCCUGUCGCAUGACGGGUGUUGGAAAGAUUUUUCGGUCAUGGAUGGACUCGCGGCCUAUCAGCUUGUUGGUGAGGUAAUGGCUCACCAAGGCGACGACGGGUAGCCGGCCUGAGAGGGUGACCGGCCACACUGGGACUGAGACACGGCCCAGGCUCCUACGGGAGGCAGCAGUGGGGAAUAUUGCACAAUGGGCGGAAGCCUGAUGCAGCGACGCCGCGUGAGGGAUGACGGCCUUCGGGUUGUAAACCUCUUUCAGUAGGGAAGAAGCGAAAGUGACGGUACCUGCAGAAGAAGCACCGGCUAACUACGUG
rnacentral:rRNA from 1 species